rnacentral:rRNA from 1 species
CCUACGGGGAGCUGCAGUGGGGAAUAUUGGACAAUGGGCGAAAGCCUGAUCCAGCCAUGCCGCGUGUGUGAAGAAGGCCUUCGGGUUGUAAAGCACUUUCAGUGGGGAAGAAAGCCUUGGGGCUAAUACCCUCGAGGAAGGACAUCACCCACAGAAGAAGCACCGGCUAACUCCGUGCCAGCAGCCGCGGUAAUACGGAGGGUGCGAGCGUUAAUCGGAAUUACUGGGCGUAAAGCGCGCGUAGGCGGUCUGAUAAGCCGGUUGUGAAAGCCCCGGGCUCAACCUGGGAACGACAUCCGGAACUGUCAGGCUAGAGUGCAGGAGAGGAAGGUAGAAUUCCCGGUGUAGCGGUGAAAUGCGUAGAGAUCGGGAGGAAUACCAGUGGCGAAGGCGGCCUUCUGGACUGACACUGACGCUGAGGUGCGAAAGCGUGGGUAGCAAACAGGAUUAGAUACCCGAGUAGUC